rnacentral:rRNA from 1 species
AGAGCGAACGCUGGCGGCAGGCCUAACACAUGCAAGUCGAGCGCCCCGCAAGGGGAGCGGCAGACGGGAGAGUAACACGUGGGAACGUACCCUUCAGUUCGGAACAACCCAGGGAAACUUGGGCUAAUACCGGAUACGCCCUUACGGGGAAAGAUUUAUUGCCGAAGGAACGGCCCGCGUCCGAUUAGCUAGUUGGUGAGGUAACGGCUCACCAAGGCGACGAUCGAUAGCUGUUCUGAGAGGAAGAUCAGCCACACUGGGACUGAGACACGGCCCAGACUCCUACGGGAGGCAGCAGUUGGGAAUCUUGGACAAUGGGGGAAACCCUGAUCCAGCCAUGCCGCGUGAGUGAUGAAGGCCUUCGGGUUGUAAGCUCUUUUACCCGGGAAGAUAAUGACUGUACCGGAGAAUAAGCUCCGGCUAACUUCGUGCCAGCAGCCGC